UUUUGGACAAUGGGGGAAACCCUGAUCCAGCCAUCCCGCGUGUGCGAUGAAGGCCUUCNGGUUGUNANGCACUUUUGUCAGGGAANAAAUCGUACAGGCUAAUAUCCUGUGCGGAUGACGGUACCUGAAGAAUAAGCACCGGCUAACUACGUGCCAGCAGCCGAGGUAAUACGUAGGGUGCAAGCGUUAAUCGGAAUUACUGGGCGUAAAGGGUGCGCAGGCGGUUUAUCAAGAAGGGUGUGAAAUCCCCGGGCUUAACCUGGGAAUGGCACUUUUAACUGAUAGGCUAGAGUAUGUCAGAGGGGGGUAGAAUUCCACGUGUAGCAGUGAAAUGCGUAGAGAUGUGGAGGAAUACCGAUGGCGAAGGCAGCCCCCUGGGAUAAUACUGACGCUCAGACACGAAAGCGUGGGGAGCAAACA
rnacentral:rRNA from 1 species